GAAAUAUAAAAGAAAUUUCUAACUUCUAAUAUAGCAUACUAUUGUUAAUAUUUCU
rnacentral:tRNA from 1 species